UCAGUGUGUUCCAUCACCUGGAGAUGACACAUACACAGAACUGAACUCCAGGACGAUGUCCCCGGACUAUGACACACUGCAAAAUGUUAAAAGCUCUGCCAGUGAGACUUACACAACCCUGAACCCUGCAGCCAUGUCCUCUGAUUAUGACACGCUGACAAGUUUGGCUCAUUGACUCAGUGAGGAGAAGUACUCCAGAACUGAAGAAUGAUAACGAACAGUAGA